rfam:Octopus bimaculoides Scaffold8649_contig_58, whole genome shotgun sequence.
GCCCCGGUGGCACAAUCGGUUAGCGCGCCGUACUUAUAGACAGUACCAUCUUUGUGUUAUUCACAAAACAGGAGAUAUGCGGAGGUUGUGAGUUCGAGCCUCACCCAGGGCA